rnacentral:rRNA from 1 species
ACGGAGGGUGCAAGCGUUAAUCGGAAUUACUGGGCGUAAAGCGCACGCAGGCGGUUUGUUAAGUCAGAUGUGAAAUCCCCGGGCUCAACCUGGGAACUGCAUCUGAUACUGGCAAGCUUGAGUCUCGUAGAGGGGGGUAGAAUUCCAGGUGUAGCGGUGAAAUGCGUAGAGAUCUAGAGGAAUACCGGUGGCGAAGGCGGCCCCCUGGACGAAGACUGACGCUCAGGUGCGAAAGCGUGGGGAGCAAACAG